CUUCGUCCCUUUGACUGAUACCAAAAUCCGUUCUGGCCCAUGGACUAUAUGGCCAGAUGACCAGUUCUCCAGAUGCUUCAGAUGACUCCAUCAACACAUCAGGGAUUCAACUUUCACUUGAUUUUUAACAUUUCAAAAUACAAAGUCCUGCAGCUAACUCAGCUGUGAUUGUACACAUUGUACGAUUGUACGCUGUGGUUUUAGACGAAGUUGCCUCUCUUUUAUCUGUGUGUUUGACUCAGCAGAAACCAGCUGGACAUGAGGAUGAAUCCAGGUCACAACAGGGAAGCAGUGAGACACUACCAGAUACUACUUGGCAGAAGGCAGCAGCUCCAUGAAUAUGGGUUAGAAUCCACUGAAGACAGCUGAAGCUCCAGAGACUCAUCUACACCCAUCCUACUCCAAGGACUGAGGGAAGUACCAGCCAGAUUAUGUUUGAACUCACAUUCUUGUAACUACUUGAUAUCAAGACCUUUGCUCUGUUUCAGAUGCUGAUGACUGGCAGCAGAGGUGGCAGCAGCUCCAGAGAGGACAGAGGCAUCUUUGAUGACUGUCUUAUGAGUACAGGAGCUCCAGUGCGAACCAACGUCAUCAUCAGGGAGGGGAGGGACCUCCACAAUAGCGCCUGACAGGACUCCAGUGAAGAGGGACCCACAAUUCACUUGGAGUUGAAGACCAUCACCACACUCUGCCUCAAACCAGACUACCUGAAGCACCUGAGUGGUUCAUCGCCCUCUAUCCAGCUGACCUCCAGCAGACAUGACAGCUUGUCAUGUCUUGAUGCUUCCUCUGAAUUAUUAAAAGUAUCAUGGGACAUUUAAUAAAUAUUUCCUGUCCAUGAAAUAUAUUGUAAUCUAACAGAGACAUCUUUCCAGUGGACAAUAUGAUAUGACAAUAUGGUGUUUGACACUUUUUAUUGAUUUGAUAGAUGUUGGUCAGGAUCGGUGCAUCUCACUGAGGGUCUAUAUAUUACGGAUGUUUAUGAAUAAUCUGUUGCCCUCAUUUAGAUGUACGACAUCCUCUGCCAAAUACUUGACUUAAAUGUUACUGUGUUGUAAAGGAAAUAGACAGUCUCCUCCCUGAGAUAACUCUGUUUCCUCUUCUAAUUCAUAAGUCCUAGUAUCUCUUAAUCUCGUAUCAAUAAACAUGAGAGAUUUUUGUGCUAGCCAUAAUAGUUUUUUUAAACCUACACCUAUAUAUCUGUAUUAUUGACUUGCACAUGUUAGCUUUAGUCACAUGGAUGUAUGUAUGUACCUAUCUUUGUUUAUCUUGUUCCUUCUCCUCUUUGUCUCUACUCGGCUGGCCUUCGGCAGAUGGGUCCCUCCAUAUGAGCUGGGUUCUGCUCAAGGUUUCUUCCUGUUGAAGGGAGUUUUUCCUUGCCACCGUCGCCUUCAGGCUUGCUCUGGAGGUUUCAGGCCGGUUUAUGUUAAGAGUCUUGAGACAAUUUUUAUUGGUGCUUUACAAACUAAAUUGAAUUAAAAAGGAUGAGGUGGAGGAGAACGCCCUAUUUAGUCCAUCUUUACAAUAGUUUGUGUGUUUUGUUAUACAUUUGCUGUUUAAAUGUUGCUAAACGUUUUCAUUGAUUUCAUUGUUUAAUCAUGCAAUUGGUUUAUCGGCAAAAUAUCUCAACCUCUUCAAAAUAAAGUGUUGUGAACG